GGGCAUUAAAUGCUUCUCUCACCCUGAAGGUCUUUUCAAGUUUAUAAAAACUCCUCAGUUUUGCAGUGGAGCAAAUGUCAGGCUUCUUCAAGUUUUUUUCCAGAAACUGAACUGGGCACCAUAGUUGGAGCAUCUUGCAGAGCCCUAAACUCUCCUCCUCCUUCUGCCUAAGGCCAGCCUGCAAAUUUUGGACCCUGUUUUCUCACCCCCAAAGCAAAAAACUGAGUUGCAGUGUGAGUCACCUUGUUACAGAGCACAGGAGAGCACGCACUUACUUUGCUUACAGCAAGGACUUCAGCCCAGGACUUCUGUGCUCCAGGUCACCUUGGUAUUCAGAUGGUCUGCGACAGAGGAAGCAUGAAGGGAGGAGGCUAAGUGCCAGUGGUGGAAGUCACACUCUGAAGGUGAUCUGCUGUGACCCCAAAGCUUUCCGACAUUUUUUUUUGCCUUGGUUGUGAUAGAGAGGAAGAAAGUCUUCUUCUCC
rnacentral:lncRNA from 1 species